AUCUCUUCCCCAAACCCCAAAUCAUGUAAGAAUCAUCCCAAACCUUCUUUUAUAUCAAUUGUUUAGGGUUUUGGAAGCUAGAUCUCGGAUUUUAGGUUGUUUGAUUGAAAAUUUUAGGAUUGAAUGAAUAGUUUAGGAUAUAUAAGUUAGGAUUGUUGUUUGGAUUGUUGUUUUAGUUUUUUUUGGAAUUUUUUUUUUUGUUAAAAUUCAAAACGUUUUAAUAUUUUUAAAACGUUUUUUGAUUUUUAAAAACAUUUUUCAAGUUUCCAUUAAUGAAAUAUAUAUAAUAAACGUUUUUAAAUUUUUUGAAAAAUAUUUAACAGCAUUUUUCUAUAUUUAUAAAUUUUUUAUUAUUUUGUAUACAUAUAUAUAUAUAUAAAUCAUGCAUAAUAAAAUUUUAAAAUUUUUUAUAAUUUUUAUAAGUUUCCACUAAUAAACUAUGUAUAAUAAAACGUUUUUUAAAAAAAAUUAUAAAUAUUUAACAAUAUUUUUCUACAUUUAUAAAUAUUUUAUAAUUGUGUAUAUAUAUAUAUAAAUCUUGUAUAAUAAAGAAUUUUAAAUUUUUUAUUAUUUUUUAUAAGUUUCUAGUAAUAAACUAUGUAUAAUAAAAGGUUUAAUAGUUUUUUUAAAAAAGUUUAUAAAACCUUUUGUAAAUAUAUAAAUGAAAACAUUAAAAAUAGAAAUGAUUUGAAAAUAUUUUUGAUGUAUUAAUUUUUUUUAUAGGGCCGAGGAUGAACCCCGCUCCGUAGCCCGUCUUCGACGUAGUUCUGUGAGCAGUUCAUGUGCAUCGGGAUCGUUUCAUGAACAAAACUCGGUUCCCGCAUAUAUUCCCGCUCCAGCUCCCGCUGCCCCUCGCGCUGCUGCUCAACAGGAUCCGGGGGUCAUGCCAGUUCAACUAUUGGUUCAACAACCAGGUCGAGAGCAUCUCCCGGUUCUCCAACCCAACCCACG
rnacentral:lncRNA from 1 species